rnacentral:rRNA from 1 species
GAUGAACGCUGGCGGCGUGCCUAAUACAUGCAAGUCGAGCGAACAGACGAGGAGCUUGCUCCCCUGACGUUAGCAGCGGACGGGUGAGUAACACGUGGAUAACAUACCUAUAAGACUGGGAUAACAACGGGAGACAGGAGCUACUACCGGAUAAUAUAUUGAACCGCAUGGUUCACUAGUUAAAGUCGGUUUUUCUGACACUAAUAGACGGCUACGGGCCGGAUUCGUUAGUUGGUAAGGUAGAGGCUUACCAACGCAGCGAGGGUAAGCCGACCUCAACGGGAGGACGGCCACAUGGGAAGUGAGACACGGUCCAGACUCCGACGGGAGGCAACAGUAGGGAAUCUUACGCGAGGGACGAAAGCCUGACAUAGCAACGCCGCGGGAGUGAUGAAGGUCUACGGCUGCGUAAGCUCUGAAAUUAGGAGAGUAGAAAUGUGUAAGUAACUAUGCACGUCUUGACGGUACCGAAUCAGAAAGCCACGGCUAACUACGUG